rnacentral:rRNA from 1 species
GACGGAGGAUGCAAGUGUUAUCCGGAAUCACUGGGCGUAAAGGGUGCGUAGGCGGGUCUUUAAGUCAGGGGUGAAAUCCUGGAGCUCAACUCCAGAACUGCCUUUGAUACUGAAGAUCUUGAGUCCGGGAGAGGUGAGUGGAACUGCGAGUGUAGAGGUGAAAUUCGUAGAUAUUCGCAAGAACACCAGUGGCGAAGGCGGCUCACUGGCCCGGAACUGACGCUGAGGUGCGAAAGCGUGGGGAGCAAACAGG